CAAUUAUUCAAGACUGCUUUCGACUUCUUUAAUGACAAGGACCCUUUAAUGAUAGAGGAAUUAUGGUACUAUAUACCUCUCUCUCUAAGUAACUGGAAAAACUGCCUGUCAGCCUAUCAUCACAGGUGGGACAGGUUGUCUACAGUGGCCUGGAAUACAGUAUUUCCUUCCCCCAGAUCCUGUACUCUAAGAGCUAGGGGGAAAAUUAUCAUGGCUCUUUAAGGUUCCAGCAUUUAGGCCAGUCACCGAUACAUAUAGAAGGUGAUUAAAAAUAAAUGUUUGUUUAAUAAAUGAAUAGAUUUUUGUAUCACAGAAUAAAAACUUUUAAGACUUUUGUUAAAAUUGCUCAUACCAUGACAAAAAAACAACUCAAGAAAAUAGUAUGAAAUUAAUGCUUAACCUCAUUAGGUUUCAUGCAAGGUUUUA